rnacentral:rRNA from 1 species
UACGUAGGGGCAAGCGUUGUCCGGAAUCAUUGGGCGUAAAGAGCGUGUAGGCGGCCCGAUAAGUCCGCUGUGAAAGUCCAGGCUCAACCCUGGGAUGCCCGGUGGAUACUGUCGGGCUCGAGUCCGGAAGAGGAGUGUGGAAUUCCUGGUGUAGCGGUGAAAUGCGCAGAUAUCAGGAGGAACACCAAUGGCGAAGGCAGCACUCUGGGACGUGACUGACGCUGAGACGCGAAAGCGUGGGGGAGCAAAACAGG